ensembl:lncRNA novel transcript
GUGGUUGGAGAAAGAAGUCUCAGCUUCAAUCAAGUUUUCAAGUUGGAUUAAUACAUGGGAAUGAACUGUUACUUAUCUGCUAUAUUGUUUUUGUGAUAUCAAGUAACCUGAUUUUUUACAUGUCCAAAAAAACAACAACAAAAAAGUAUUGAAGCCUACCUUAAAUUUCAUCUAGGGACAAAAGGAGGAACUAGCCCACCAAGCAGGUUUAAAGGGAGUGUCGGACACAAAAAUGACAUGCCCCAUAUUGCAGUCUAGAAGGAACAACACGGUGAAUUGUCUACUGCAGAACACUUCACUCUGUCUCGAUUACUACAUGGUGAAUUGAAGUUCCAGUAGAGAGGGAGUUGAGCUGAUACUGAGGAGGUAUGUAUGCUAAUACUGCCCAGUACUAACUUGGUGUCCAUUUUAGCAGAAGGCAAGUCACUGCGUUCCUUUUUUCAAUCAGUAAAACUAUAAGGCUGGGUUUGAUUACCAAUUAAGAUUUUUCUGUAUACCAAAUUAUCUGGUCUUUGGAGAAUGAAAAGCUGUUCAAAUCUUAUAAUCAAGCAGCAAAGAAGUACUAGGUAACAUAUUUUCAGUAUAUGCUAUGAGCCAGUUCACAAUGCCAUGCACUUCACUAUAUCAUCUCAUUAAACAAAUUUGUGAGAUUCUCUUACAAUUUCUGUUUCAUACAUGGGAACUGAGGCAUAGAGAGUACCAUGCUCAGGGUCAUGGAAGGAGUAAGCACUGAAACCGGCAGUUGCAUCUGAGUGUAUCUGACUCCUGGAUCUCAGGUCUUCUACAAGCAAACAGGAGUAGUUGCUACAUAGGCCCUCAGAAAAUUAACACAAUAAAUAAUAGGUGCUGUAGUUUGUACCAGAAGCCAGGCACAUUUCUGCCCUUGGUUGCAGCCUCUUCUGCCCAGAUAUUGUCGGUCCAUACUUUCACAACCUGUCGUCUCAUGGUUAAGGAAUCCCUCAGGAGCAGCAGCCACUGCAGCUUCUGGGCUGGCUAGCCACCCUUCUGUAGAUUCCAUGGGUGGGGAAUGGAUCUAGACAGCCUAUUAGUCACAGCACAACAGGCAGCAUGAGCUUCUUGUUGCAUCGGUUCCAUAUGUCCCCAAGGUAGGCCCAGGUGAUUGCCAUGUACAAUGGGGUCUGCAUCACAGCUGAGGAACAUGGGGUGCCAAACCCCUAACCUUAAUGGGGCUGCUAGCAAACCUGCCCAAACUUUGUUUCUGAAGGAGACACUAUCCUUAUUAUCUUGAUCACAAAACAAGUCUGCCCUUUGCCCUUAAGGGAGACACUAGCUUCUAAUGCUGCUAGAUAAAUGUAGUCUGAGAUGCAGAGACACCAUAGAGAACUGCAUCCUGACAAUUCCUAAAGGUGAAAAUGUGGCCAGAAGCAAACUCUAUUCAUAUAUGUGUCCAUCUGGUGGGCUUCCAUAGCAUUUGCCUUGCUCAGACUUCUCUUCACAGCCAAGAAGGAUGAUACAACGUAGAGCAUGGAGUGUGGAUGAGAAGUCCCCACAAGUUCCCCAGAAGGCUAUUUUUCUCUGGAGCAGAUAGUCUGAGUGUAGAUUGGUAUAAUCCAUUUGGAAAACAUUUUGGUAAUAUGAAGAAAAAGACAUAUAAGUACAUUGAUACACAUUCAAUGGAAAUUACAGGUCUUGGAAUCAAUUCCCAAAGGCAUAAUUCAAAACUCUUGGGAAGACCCACAAAAAUAGAUCCUUUAUGUAGCAAAAAGGUGAUCAUAACUUAAGAAUAGGAGAAUAGAUAUGAUAUAGUGUACUUUCUUGAUGAAUUAUUAUCUUUUUACUUAAAAUGAUGGCUAUGGACUCCAAUAAUAAGAAAAAUGUCUAUGACAUAAUGUUAUAUGAAAAACUGGGUUUAAACUGUGUAUAUAAUAUGAAUACAAAUGUGGUAAGACACUCACUCCUAAGGGGAAAAGGUUUGAAGAAAAUUCAUUAACUCCUAAGCAUUUGUUGAAUUAGACUGAGAGAAUGAAGAAUGACUUUUUUUCUCUUUUUAUAAUUCCCUGCUAACUUUAGACACAUAGUUAGAUUUUAAAAGGAAAAAUAUGUAUAAGGCUAAAAAGAAAAAAAAUCGUAGUGAUGUAUUAAUGCCCUCUCUAGACCUAAAUCAGAAACCACCAAGCAUUUUUCUUCUUUUUAAUGUUGUCUUUUCAUUUUUUAGGUUUAUUAAUUAAAAUCUCUCCAUUAAACCUAUUUGUCUGCCCAGCAUAAAACAGCAUCCGGGCCUCUAAAGAGAAGUCAUGGGACAAACUACCUGCCCAGGGCUCACUGUUGAGGCAAAGGUACCCUUCAUCGGACAGGAUUCCAUUUUUUGUCUCCUGGAUCUUUCCUCUUUUUUUUCUUUAUUUAUUUUUAUAUUUAUGUAUUUAUUUAUUUACUGAGACAGGGUCUCGUUCUGUCCCCCAGGCUGGUGUGCAGUGACGCGAUCUCGGCUCACUGCAAGCUCCACCUCCCAGAUUCUCGCCAUUCUCCUGCUUCUGCCUCCAGAGUAGCUGGGACUACAGGCGCCCGCCACCACACCCGGCUAAUUUUUUGUAUAUUUUUUUUAGUGGAGACGGAGUUUCACUGUGUCAGCCAGGAUGGCUUCGAUCUCCUAACUUCCUGAUCCGCCCCCCUCAGCCUCCCAAAGUGUUGGGAUUACAGGCGUGAGCCACCGUGCCAGGCCGAUCUUUCUUUUCUCUACAGGAAUCCCCCCAGGAAUAAAAUGCAAAUUUGCGUGGGUAUUGCAAGGUCCUUAGAAGUUAGUAUUGACUCCUUCAUAAUCCUCUGGCCCUACCCAUCAUUAAUAGAGCCUUCCAUUAACAGCAUCUCCCCGCCUAAGCAUGCUGGGUCCCACCUCGCGACCACCCCUUACUCUAACUGGACCCACACAGAAAUUUUUCAAGCUCCUAGAAUGUUCCAGGGUCUCUGGCUUCCGAAUCUAUCACCUACAGUUCUAUCUGCCCAGAACUCUCUGCCUCCCCAAUUCACUCUCACCAAGCUAGCUGUUUCCUGAUUAAAAUUGCUUUCUUCAUGACAAAACCCUGUACUCCAGAUCCCCCAGUCUGGAUCAGGCACCCCUGCUGGGUCUCCUCCCUAGGAGCCUUCACCUUAGUCCCUGCCGUUACCUGAGUCUCAUCGCCCUCGUGGUGCUCUCAAAUGCUCCCUCCACAGUCUGGGAGGUUUUCACUGGGGACUAUCCUGGAAAAGGCGUAACAUGUGAUUCUAAGAGGUGACAGUGAGCACCCACAUGUCAUCUCAAACUGCUGAGAACAGGGAAGGCAGGUGAAGGUCCCGCUUCUAUUGUUUUGUAACAACAUAAAAGCACAGUUUAUUUCCUACAUAAAUUUUAUUUUCUAAAGAGGCCUUGGGUACUGAGAUGUGAGAUGGACUUCACGGAGAGCUGGCUGCAUCACGAGCCCCAAAGGGUAAGAAUCAGGCCUGGGACAGAGCACUCACACACAUACCGUGUGCUCACAGGUAAGGGCAGGAGUGCGCAGCAAAGAAAGCUUCACAUGGCUCCCAUGUAACCUGACUUUUAUCUCUGCUUUCACAGAAUGAGGCAUAAAACUACCAGCUAGGCACUCGCCUUCCUUUCUAUUUAAAUUUGCUGUAUUGGAAUGCGUUUCUAUGUCUCACCUAAGUUAUUGUCUCAUAGUGCUUGGAUAAACUUUGUUUUCCAUUAUCUUCCUAAAAAUAAACUUCUUGAAAUACUGUGUGUUAAAUCAUCUCAACUUACAUCUGAGGUAAUCAGGCUUUUGGUAAAUUCAUGAAGUAUUUGUUCCAAGUGUUGGAAAUUCACCCUUGAAGUCUCAUCUCUGAGUGAAAUGUCUGCCUUAGAGAAUAACAAUGAUCACAGCACCCCAGGACUUCUCCUGUGUCAGUGGUUCUCCUCCCUCACCAUCUAAGGGGAGGGGGAGAGAAACACCUGCUCUCUCAUGGCAGCUCCACACCCCUCCCCACAUCUGACUUCCUCCUUGGUGGAGAAUUACUGAGCAUUCCUGUUAAGAAUACAGCACAUCUGACAAAUAGAUUGAAUUGAAAAAUGUAUAAAAUCAUCUAAUUGUUAAUUGGAGAACUAGGUAAAAUCCUUAAUAUGUAGAGAAAUUUAAACAUACUUUUAUAGGUUUAUAUGUAUUUGGACAAAGAUUUUUUUGUUUUUCUCCAGGCUAAAACACCCAUAACCAUCAUCUUUGGUGAGGAGAAAAGACAGAUAUUUUAAAAAAAUUUGUGUGAUGAGAAUUUAUUUAUUCAAAUAUUGUUUUUUUCUUAUUUUCAAUCUUCAUUUUUUCCCUAAAGAUAAAUACCCAUCACUGUAUACAUCUACUUCUUGGAAUUUGCAAGGGAACCAGUCAACAGAUUUUUCAAGCCUUAUAAGUUUAUCUGCCUGAGAAGUUCACCAGCUACAUAACAUCCUGGACUCUGGAGCCCAAGAGAUGUGUAGUUUCCAUUUUGGAGCCAUUUUCUUUGAUAAAUAAGUAGUGAGGCUGCCAUUCUUGUCAAAGUUGAGGACCACAACCUUACUCAUGAAACUGAAAGAUUGUUUGUUAUGAGGAGUUCUGUUUGAGCCAUACAAGCAAUAUAUCCUUUUUAAAGAAAUGUAUCCGGAAUCUUAGGUGUUCAUUGCUCCAAGCCAUGU